rnacentral:piRNA from 1 species
UGCUAGGUUUGCCACGGAGGUACAUCCCAGC